rnacentral:rRNA from 1 species
AUGAGCUCACAUAUACUCAACCAAAUCAUCUUGCAGUUGAAUGUGAGUUUCCUAAUCACACAUUUAAUGAUGAAAUUGAGUGAACUAUGCAAACGUUGCCGCUCCUCCAUACUCAGGCACAACAUUGUCAUCCUAGAACUGAAAACCUUGAUCGUAGAUACGUUUCAGGCGCUCAUUCUUUAUGAUCAUAUUAUGCAUGAUCACACAAACAGUCAUCACCUCCCACAAUUUCUUGGUGCUCCAAGUUCUAGCAGGAUACCGAACGAUGCCCCAUCGAGGUUGGAGAACACCAAAGACAUGCUCGACAUCCUUCUUAUCACUCUCUUGCUCUUGAGCAAAUCUCCUCCUCUUCUCUCCGACAGGGUUGGGGAUUGUCUUCACAAUAACGAUCCACUAAUGAUAGAUACCAUCAGCUAG